AUGUGUUUACCUUUUCUUCAGACUCGUUUUACAUUACAACCAGCUUAUGUUACGACACUGUUUGAAAAGUAGUCUUAAUGAACGUGACACUGAGUAACAUUUUCAUUGUUUUUCUUAACGCACUGAUUACCACAGAAUGGACCAUUACAAAGCGUUUUAUGAGUCACAGUUGCCUCACAUAAAGGCCAAAGUGCUUGAAGAGUGUAAAAAAAAAAAAAAACACGCAACACUGGAUUGGAAGGGAAACGGCAGCGCUUCGUUAAUGACCAUCCGGCCUCCAGUGCUGACUAGGGAGCAGAGAGCUGAGAUACAAAAAUAUCAACAAGACGCCUUGACCUGCGAAAAUCAAAGAAGGGAAUCGCAAGAAGGUCAUCUGAUGAUUCGUGUUCAGACUCUUCUAGAGCAUGUCAAGCUGCGGAAAGCACCAACCCUGCAGGACUUCAUCCAGGCUGAUUCGAGAUUUUGUCAGCUGCUGUGUUGAUUUAAAGAACAAAAGUGUAGAAUCAGACAAUUGAUUCCAAGCACUUGAUUCCAAACAAGACUAUGAUAGAAGCAUCAGGUUUCAUCUUACGACAUCUACUGCAGAUGAAGGACUUCCAACUAAAGGCUUACAAGAUUUUCAUAACAGGUAUGCUGAACAAGGAACUAAUUACAAGUUGCAAGAAGUAAGCCAAACUAUUCCAAGUGACCAAGUUCAAUGCUUAGAAACCGACAGUGCCUCAGUGAAUCCCACCCUAAUGUGCCAAAAUCCUUAUUAUCAAAAUGAUACCAGUCAAAGGUCAGUGUCAUUCGGAUAUGUAACCUGCAAUAAUGUGGAUAUCAUGGGUCGUGUCAGUAGUGGAGCAGAGGUUUUUCACAGUCAGGAUGGACAGUUUUUUUCUUCAUGAAACUGGUUGUGACUCUAACAAGGUUCCAUGCAUACCAGGUGAUACAUUGGUUCAUUGUAGCAGAAAGGACAAUCCACAGGCGAGCAAAGUGUCUAUCAAUUGUGUCAUUUCAAACAUUCUGAAUGGGAAAAUACUCAAGAUGAAAAAACGGCAGAUCUUGAGAUUCCAGAGGAACCUUACCGUAUGAGCCUCCAAAACCUGCUGAAGAAGUCAACAGAGUCCCGAGCCAAACAGUGUGAACUAAAGAAGUCGAAAGUGAGGGCUGUGGGGAAAAUCAAUACAGACAAUGGAAUGGAAGCAACGGAAGACUGACAGUCAUGUCUGAUAAAGGGGUUCAAACCCUUCACCAUUGUGGGAUGAUGAAUCAAUCAUUGGGGGCUCAUGAACAAUUGAGUAUGUCUAUGACAGUGGAACAUCGUGGUAAGCAGUUUCUUCAUCAAGAAAUGCAAGCUACAACAUUUCAAGGGUUUGAUGCUGUAAACUCAGUGUCCUCAAUAAGUGGCAAACAAAUAGAACCUGCAAACAGUUUUGCAAGUAAUGAAUUGAUUCAAACAGAAGCCAGCCAAAAGACCAAGACACUGAAAGAUGUUAGCAUCAGUCAUGGUGUCUUCACAGCUCCAACUGCUUCUUGCUGUUUGGCCCUGAAGACUUCCUGUAAGAUGACUAGUGGAAAUGGUGUACUGAAUAUUUCUAGUAAUAAAUAUAAAAUAGUUCCCAGUCCUGAGUUUAGUAAAAGCCCACUGCAUUCACAGAAAAUCACAGGUCAUAGCAGAAAGCUGUUGGUCAACACUUUGAGUAUUAGCAACGAUGCAGUUGACCAUUGCACUAAAAACAAAAGCACACCAGACCUUCAAGAAGAUAGUCAUGAAAACACCAAAAGGCUUCAGACUGAGCAGAUGAUGCAGCUAGGGAUUAAAAGGUUUGAAAGCCCUGAUAUUAAACCUGGAAUAAACCAUUUCUGAGACAUCAGCCAACAGUACAUUACAUGAAAACCAUUAUAUGUAACAAGUCUUUUUUCCAAGAAGUUCCUUGAAACAAACCAGAAUGCAAAAUAACAAAACCUGUAAAUCUGAUUUAUUUUCAAGGGACUCAAAACAAUUCAAAGUAAAUCUUGUGGAACAUCCUUACUUCAAAAAAAGCUUUGUUAGAAGUUUCUCAUUUGGAGUCACAUAAAGGGUAUAUUAUAUCUGAUACAGGUAAUCGAACUGCUGGUGUUGAGUCAGUAAAAGAAAAGGACAUGGAAAAUAUGUCCCGCCACAUGUCAGUUGUAUGAUGUGGAUAUUCUGUCUGCUACAAGGUUUGCAGUUGCAACAGGGGUUUUGGUGUCGGGGAAAGUUCAGUGACCCGUGACAACAGGGAAAAAUACACAGGAGUCCAGAAUCAAGAGAAGACUUGUCACGAAUGCUGGGGAUUCGAGUGCCAACGGACAAAGAUGUCUUGAAACCCGAUUCAGCAAAAAGACCGCUUUCAAGGCUACAAGGCUUUCAGUUAAAAUUGCAGAGCAGUUCCGGCAUUUGCAUGCAUAUCAUUCUAGUAUCCUGACCUCAGCAAAGAGCAGACCACUGUGGGACAGUCUGCACCAGCCAAGGCUUCAUUAACAUCAUCCAUUAUUCUGCAUAACAAGGCUUACCUGUCCAGCAUGGUGUCAGAGGUGAUUUCAUGUUAGUAACGCAUGCCAAGAUAGCAGCACUAGUGAAAGGUUACCUCACAAGGAGGCUUUUGCGCACAGAGCGAUUAUCUCAUCAGGACUAUUCAGGAUUCAAGUCAGUUAUCGCUGACCUUAAGUCCAGGAGAGACGGGGUUAAGUUCUCAUCCGAGUCGUUCAUUAUCAGAACGAGUUUUGCUUCAGGAGUACAGAGGAGAGCAGCAGAAGGACAGAAAAGGCAGAAGAAUGUUCUGUUUGCAUCCUUACAAGGAACAAAGGACUUCUAUCUACAAUGGAUGCCAAAAGAUGAUCUUGCUGUGCUCAAGACCCAUGGAAAAUGUGGUGAUGUCCUGAAACUUUUAAUGGAGGAGCUCAGUGUUGAAAUCCCUGCAUAUGACAAGUACUUAUCAUAAAUCAACUUGGACGCCUGGAGUAUGUAUUAGGCUUGUAGUGAUAAUAAUCCAAUUAUUUAUUGACUGGGACCCCACGAUAACAAGCCGAUAAUAUUUGAACGAAGUGGAAUAUUCUAUGAAGUUAAAAACAUUUAUAGUAUAUAUAAAUUUACUGUGAAGAACGCAAUCUGUGUUGUUGCUUGUAAAAGUUACUGAGAGUAUGCGUCUGUGAACAAAUACAGGAUGAUGAUGCAGAGAUCAAGAGUAACCUGCUU